rnacentral:miRNA from 1 species
GUCCAGGCUGGGCAGUGAGGAGGGCGUGACGCCGCGAAGUGCGCCUCGCCUUUGUCAAACUAGGAC